rnacentral:rRNA from 1 species
AGUGGCGGACGGGUGAGUAACGCGUGAGAAUCUGCCUUGGGGUCGGGGACAACCACUGGAAACGGUGGCUAAUACCGGAUAAGCCGAUUGGUGAAAGAUUUAUUGCCCGAAGAGGAGCUCGCGUCUGAUUAGCUAGUUGGUGAGGUAAGAGCUCACCAAGGCAGCGAUCGGUAGCUGGUCUGAGAGGACGAUCAGCCACACUGGGACUGAGACACGGCCCAGACUCCUACGGGAGGCAGCAGUGGGGAAUUUUCCGCAAUGGGCGAAAGCCUGACGGAGCAAGACCGCGUGAGGGAGGAAGGCUCUUGGGUUGUAAACCUCUUUUCUCAGGGAAGAAGCUCUGACGGUACCUGAGGAAUCAGCCUCGGCUAACUCCGUGCCAGCAGCCGCGGUAAUACGGAGGAGGCAAGCGUUAUCCGGAAUUAUUGGGCGUAAAGCGUCCGCAGGUGGCGAUUCAAGUCUGCUGUCAAAGCACGGGGCUUAACUCCGUAAAGGCAGUGGAAACUGAAUAGCUAGAGUGCCGUAGGGGUAGAGGGAAUUCCCGGUGUAGCGGUGAAAUGCGUAGAGAUCGGGAAGAACAUCGGUGGCGAAAGCGCUCUACUGGACGGCAACUGACACUCAGGGACGAAAGCUAGGGGAGCGAAUGGGAUUAGAUACCCC